AUCACUUCUUGGCCUUUUGGCUAGGAUCAAGUGUAGUGCCUGCUCUUAUCAGUUGAAUAUCUGCUAUGUCCUCUCUCUGAGGACAAUAUAUCACAAGAUUUUGGCACCAGGAGAUGGAACAGGAACUUGCUCCGUCCACUCCAUGCAUCGACCUGUGUUCCCGGUACUCCCAGGGAUGGUGCACCUUUU
ensembl:snRNA U2 U2 spliceosomal RNA